UAGAGUUUGAUCAUGGCUCAGAACGAACGCUGGCGGCAGGCUUAAUACAUGCAAGUCGCGCGGGCAGCAAUGUCAGCGGCGGACGGGUGAGUAACGCGUAGGAAUGUGUCCAGAGGUGGGGGACAACCCCGGGAAACUGGGGCUAAUACCGCAUAUGACCUGAGGGUCAAAGCAGUGAUGCGCCUUUGGAGCAGCCUGCGUCCGAUUAGGUAGUUGGUGGGGUAAUGGCCUACCAAGCCUGCGAUCGGUAGCUGGUCUGAGAGGAUGAUCAGCCACACUGGGACUGAGACACGGCCCAGACUCCUACGGGAGGCAGCAGUGGGGAAUAUUGGACAAUGGGCGCAAGCCUGAUCCAGCAAUGCCGCGUGUGUGAAGAAGGUCUUCGGAUCGUAAAGCACUUUCGGCGGGGACGAUGAUGACGGUACCCGCAGAAGAAGCCCCGGCUAACUUCGUGCCAGCAGCCGCGGUAAUACGAAGGGGGCUAGCGUUUCUCGGAAUUACUGGGCGUAAAGCGCGCGUAGGCGGCUACUCAAGUCAGAAGUGAAGCCCGGGGCUCAACCCCGAACUGCCUUGAAACUAGUGGCUAGAAUCUUGAGAGUCAGUGGAAUUCGAGUGUA
rnacentral:rRNA from 1 species